GGGGUAUGGAAAAUUUUUUUUGUGCAACAAAAAAUUUUGAGAAAUUUGGGACAUGCGCUAAUUGUUGGCGUGAGACAUCUCUCCUUCUUUCUUCCCUUAUCUCAACAUAUCUCAUCAUUCUUUUUAUUUUGGACACCCAAGAUCAAAUGGGAUUUGAUCUUUUAAGGCAUUAAGAAGAGAUUGGGGCAUGAGAGAUCUGGUUGGAGCGACAAAAAUGAAAGGAGGAGAGAUGGCAUGCACUAAAGAGAUGAAGCUCUUCUUUCUUACAUCAAAAUUCUUCCCAAUGCCUCCUCCUCCCUUCUCCCCUUCAUCCAAUGCCCAGAUCUAAUGGUGAUCCGAUCUAAAAGAGAAAAAGAGAGAGAAGAAGAGAAGAAGAAGAGUUCUUCUUCUCUUUAUGGUGAUCUGAUUCAGAUUCCGUCGGAUCUGCAUGAAAGAGUUCACACAGCGAUCUACUUCUUCAAGAUUUAGAAGAAGAGAUCAAGAUCCAAAAAUAAGAAGUAAGAUCUGCAAGAUGCUAGCACACCAGUGAUCUCAGUGCUCUGAUAAGAUGGCUCUAUAUGGAUACUAAUAGAGAUCGAAUGCGUGCGCGGCUACGAUUAGAAUCUAGGACAUCCGGAAGAUCCGAGAUAUGGAGAUCCGAUCUCUAUUUUAUUUUUACUAACGAUUGUUUUUGUUUCAGAUUUCAGAUCGUGGAUACUUGUUCGUAUCAAGAUCCAUGCUAUAAUUUUCAAAUCUGAUCUAGUACUUGUAAAUUAAAAUUAUUUUAAUUUAUUUAUUUUCACUGUAUAGAUGUUUAGAAAAAAAUUUUGAAUUACACGUACGAAAUCAUAGUGUAUUCUAAUAGUGAUAUCAGAGCAUAGGUUCUGAUACGAACAUGAAACCCCCUCAGAUCUGAUAUCUGAUUUGUAGAAAUUAGAUCUAAAGGUUAAUAAGAUGAUCACAUCAUUCUGAAAUAAGGUUGCCCUGGCAUAACUCCUGUUAUGCUG
rnacentral:lncRNA from 1 species